CUGUGGUGGAUUCAGUACCGUGAGGGAAAGUUGAAAAGAACUCUGAAUAGAGAGUUAAACAGUACGUGAAACUGCUUAGAGGUUAAGCCCGAUGAACCUGAAUAUCCGUUAUGGAAAAUUCAUCAUUAAAAUUGUAAUAUUUAAAUAAUAUUAUUAAGAAUAAUGUGCAUUUUUUCCAUAUAAGGACAUUGUAAUCUAUUAGCAUAUCCCAAAUUUAUCAUAAAAUAUAACUUAUAGUUUAUUCCAAUUAAAUUGCUUGCAUUUUAACACAGAAUAAAUGUUAUUAAUUUGAUAAAGUGCUGAUAGAUUUAUAUUAUUACAGAGCGUUAAUUUUUCGGAAUUAUAUAAUGGCAUAAUUAUCAUUGAUUUUUGUGUUUAUUAUAUGCUCUUGUAUGAUUAACAAUGCGAAAGAUUCAGGAUACCUUCGGGACCCGUCUUGAAACACGGACCAAGGAGUCUAACAUAUGUGCAAGUUAUUGGGAUGUAAACCUAAUAGCGUAAUUAACUUGACUAAUAAUGGGAUUAGUUUUUUAGCUAUUUAUAGCUAAUUAACACAAUCCCGGGGCGUUCUAUAUAGUUAUGUAUAAUGUAUAUUUAUAUUAUUUAUGCCUCUAACUGGAACGUACCUUGAGCAUAUAUGCUGUGACCCGAAAGAUGGUGAACUAUACUUGAUCAGGUUGAAGUCAGGGGAAACCCUGAUGGAAGACCGAAACAGUUCUGACGUGCAAAUCGAUUGUCAGAAUUGAGUAUAGGGGCGAAAGACCAAUCGAACCAUCUAGUAGCUGGUUCCUUCCGAAGUUUCCCUCAGGAUAGCUGGUGCAUUUUAAUAUUAUAUAAAAUAAUCUUAUCUGGUAAAGCGAAUGAUUAGAGGCCUUAAGGUCGAAACGAUCUUAACCUAUUCUCAAACUUUAAAUGGGUAAGAACCUUAACUUUCUUGAUAUGAAGUUCAAGGUUAUGAUAUAUGUGCCCAGUGGGCCACUUUUGGUAGCAGACUGGCGCUGUGGGAUGAACCAAACGUAAUGUUACGGUGCCCAAAUUACACUCAUG
rnacentral:ncRNA from 1 species